GAUGAACGCCGGCUACAGGCUUAACACAUGCAAGUCGAGGGGAAACGACGGGGAAGCUUGCUUCCCCGGGCGUCGACCGGCGCACGGGUGAGUAACGCGUAUCCAACCUGCCUCUGACUGAGGGAUAACCCGUCGAAAGUCGGCCUAAUACCUCAUGGCAUCGUCUGCGGGCAUCCAACGACGAUUAAAGAUUUCAUCGGUCAGAGAUGGGGAUGCGUCUGAUUAGCUUGUUGGCGGGGUAACGGCCCACCAAGGCGACGAUCAGUAGGGGUUCUGAGAGGAAGGUCCCCCACAUUGGAACUGAGACACGGUCCAAACUCCUACGGGAGGCAGCAGUGAGGAAUAUUGGUCAAUGGGCGAGAGCCUGAACCAGCCAAGUAGCGUGCAGGAUGACGGCCCUAUGGGUUGUAAACUGCUUUUAUGCGGGGAUAAAGUGAGGGACGUGUCCUUCAUUGCAGGUACCGCAUGAAUAAGGACCGGCUAAUUCCGUG
rnacentral:rRNA from 1 species